rnacentral:lncRNA from 1 species
CUAUAUUUAAUUUUUUAAUUUUUUACAACAUUUUGCCAGCAAACUUUGCAAUUUUUACUAAUUCUAACGUCAGUGACGUGCUGGCAGGGGGGGCCGGGGCGCAAAAAUGAAAAGGGGGCACCGAUCCCGCAUCGAGUUUUUAAAGUGGGUGGGAAAAAUCGCAUUUGAAAAAAUAUAGUUACUUCCGCCGACUGAAAAGAUGUGUUUAUAUAGGCAGUGGCGGAAAGUUUAUAGGCAGCUCUCCUAAAUUUCCGACAAAAUUUCCGACAUACCCCCCCCCCCCAUUUGCACUCUAAAAGACUGUUUUUAGCCCUCUUUUAGGUCAAAAUUUCCGAAAAUUCGUCAAUUUUCCGUGAAGGUGGGGGGGCCGCCCCACCAAGAUUUCCGCCACUGUUUAUAGGCUUAUAAAUAGACUAAGCGCAUAGGCGACAAAGUGAUAUAUUAAAUUAUACAGACUAUCUUGUCUAACCGUAUUUGCUAAUUUGCUACCUCACGGCUCACACGAAAUCGUUCAUAUAGAAACGUGAACUGUGAUCACACGCAAUGUCUCAUCACCGGAAUAUUGGUCAGGUUUCGAAGCGAUCACGGGAAUCAUGCCCUUUUUUGCUGGUAUUAUG